GGGCCCGCACAAGCAGUGGAGCAUGUGGUUUAAUUCGAUGCAACGCGAAGAACCUUACCAGGCCUUGACAUCCCCGGAACUUUCUAGAGAUAGAUUGGUGCCUUCGGGAACGCAGUGACAGGUGCUGCAUGGCUGUCGUCAGCUCGUGUCGUGAGAUGUUGGGUUAAGUCCCGUAACGAGCGCAGCCCUUGUCCUUAUUUUGCCAGCAUUAAGUUGGGCACUCUAGGGAGACUGCCGGUGACAAACCGGAGGAAGGUGGGGAUGACGUCAAGUCCUCAUGGCCCUUACAGGCUGGGCUACACACGUGCUACAAUGGCGAUGACAGUGGGCAGCGACCCCGCAAGGGUGAGCU
rnacentral:rRNA from 1 species